rnacentral:rRNA from 1 species
UACGUAGGGUGCGAGCGUUGUCCGGAAUUAUUGGGCGUAAAGAGCGUGUAGGCGGCCAGACAGGUCCGUUGUGAAAACUCGAGGCUCAACCUCGAGACGUCGAUGGAAACCGUCUGGCUAGAGUCCGGAAGAGGAGUGUGGAAUUCCUGGUGUAGCGGUGAAAUGCGCAGAUAUCAGGAAGAACACCUAUGGCGAAGGCAGCACUCUGGGACGGUACUGACGCUGAGACGCGAAAGCGUGGGGAGCGAACAGG